rnacentral:tRNA from 1 species
GGUCCGUUGGUCAAGGGGUUAAGACACCGCCUUUUCACGGCGGUAACACGGGUUCGAAUCCCGGGUUCGAAUCCCGUACGGACUA